rnacentral:misc_RNA from 1 species
UCAAACUUGGUCAUUUAGAGGAAGUAAAAGUCGUAACAAGGUUUCCGUAGGUGAACCUGCGGAAGGAUCAUUAGUGAAUUUCUUAAAAUGAAAAUUGUUGGAACCUAAAAAGUUCCUCAAUUUCUAUUUUAUAAUCCACUUUAUCUACCACACUUUAAAUGUGAAGUGUAAUCGGACAGGAUGAUUUCACGAUCUAUUUUGUUCGAGGCGUUUGUCUGUAUGUAUAAAGAACUUUUUUUCCUAAAGUUUUUAAUACUUGGGCCGCCGAAACAUUUUUAUAAAACUCAGGAGCAAUCUUGUUGUUUUUUAAAUCUUAAGAAAAAAACAUGAAUGUGUUAUAUUAUAAACAAAAAUAAAACUUUCAGUGACGGAUCUCUUGGCUCUCGCAUCGAUGAAGAACGCAGC